UCUCUGUCCUCCAGUUCUGGGGUUAGUGAUGCAUGCAGACACAUCUAGUUUUUAACCUGGGAGCUGAGGACUGAGACU